UUAGAUUCUUGAUGAAUGUGUGUUGUUGUUAUUCACCCUGGUUCAGUGUGCCCCUUUUUAGCUUUGAGCACCCGCCCCUAUAAACGUCUCUGCACGGCCCUGAUCAAGACAAUACAUUAAAGAGAAAUACACUAAAGAGAAAUCCCACAACACACACUAUCACUGUAUCAGCUUCCCCUGGUUUUAAAUGUUUCAGUGAUUUAAAAGAUUUUCCAGUGGUGAGGCAGUUUGAACUGAAUAUCUGACUGUCUCAGUGUUCAGAUAGUUAAGCUAGCUAGUUAAUUGAGAAGCAAGAAUUAAGAACAUGACAUGAGUGAGCAAAGUGGCUACUCUCAUGGUAGUGGUUGUUUUCAAAUCCCUCCCAAUCUUAAAAAUGCCAUACAUACAUGGUUAGCUAUACUGUCAUAGCAGCUGUUUUUGGCAUUUAUCGAAAGCUAUAGUAACCUUCCAAAGAGUGAACAGAACGAAAAAGUUUAGCCAGACAUGUACAGUUAUACAUUUACUCAUCUUUCGACCAGCAGGUCCUCAGUUCUGUUGCACAAGCAGUCAGAUAUAUAAAUUUUCCUUGGCUUGGGCAGGUGGUCACAGGGACUAAAGCUGCAGAGGUUUUAGAGAUGGAGCCAUAUCCAGCCUGGACUUUCUUACUGUCGUUUUUAGUUAUGACUUCCUCAUGUGAUGGUGGAAAAGUGCUAGUGUUUCCAGUAGAUGGAAGCCACUGGCUUAACAUGAAAAUCCUUGUGGAGGCUCUUCACUCUCAAUGUCA